GAUGAACGCUGGCGGCGUGCUUAACACAUGCAAGUCGAACGAUGAAGCCCAGCUUGCUGGGUGGAUUAGUGGCGAACGGGUGAGUAACACGUGAGUAACCUGCCCUUAACUCUGGGAUAAGCCUGGGAAACUGGGUCUAAUACCGGAUAGGAGCGUCCACCGCAUGGUGGGUGUUGGAAAGAUUUAUCGGUUUUGGAUGGACUCGCGGCCUAUCAGCUUGUUGGUGAGGUAAUGGCUCACCAAGGCGACGACGGGUAGCCGGCCUGAGAGGGUGACCGGCCACACUGGGACUGAGACACGGCCCAGACUCCUACGGGAGGCAGCAGUGGGGAAUAUUGCACAAUGGGCGCAAGCCUGAUGUAGCGACGCCGCGUGAGGGAUGACGGCCUUCGGGUUGUAAACCUCUUUCAGUAGGGAAGAAGCGAAAGUGACGGUACCUGCAGAAGAAGCACCGGCUAACUACGUG
rnacentral:rRNA from 1 species